rnacentral:rRNA from 1 species
UGUCCUACGGGGGGCAGCAGUGGGGAAUAUUGCACAAUGGGGGAAACCCUGAUGCAGCGACGCCGCGUGAGUGAAGAAGUAUUUCGGUAUGUAAAGCUCUAUCAGCAGGAACGAGACAAGACGGUACCUGACUAAGAAGCCCCGGCUAACUACGUGCCAGCAGCCGCGGUAAUACGUAGGGGGCAAGCGUUAUCCGGAAUCACUGGGUGUAAAGGGAGCGUAGACGGCAGAGCAAGUCUGAAGUGAAAGCCCGCGGCCCAACUGCGGGACUGCUUUGGAAACUGCCCGGCUAGAGUGCGGGAGAG